GCUUCGGUGGCCUAGUGGUUUAAUUUUCUGGCUUGGAUGCAGGAGGUCAUGGGUUCGAUCCCCGGUCGAGUCA